GAAGGCAUUUAGCAGGAAAGGAGGUACCCUGGGAAGACGGCUGAAGCGCAUCGUAGUACCUAUGACUGAGGAUUCUGGCAUUGAUGUCCGUCGCGAAUGUGUUCUCAAGGGACUUUGUGUCUACAUGAAUGAAGACCCCGAGAGCUUUGUGAAGGAAUACAUGUCAGAUGAUGCCAGUAGUCACACG